UGCCUUUGUCCCGAUUGUCUUGGCAUCUUG
rnacentral:piRNA from 1 species